GUAAACGGUGGGUAACUAGGUAUGGGGCUCAUUUCACGAGUUUCCGUGCCGUAGCUAACGCAUUUAAGUACCCCGCCUGGGGAGUACGGCCGCAAGGCUAAAACUNCAAAGGAAUUGACGGGGGCCCGCACAAGCGGCGGAGCAUGUGGAUUAAUUGAUGCAACGCGAAGAACCUUACCUGGGUUUGACAUACACCAGAUGCGGCUAGAGAUAGUCGUUCCCUUGUGGUUGGUGUACAGGUGGUGCAUGGCUGUCGUCAGCUCGUGUCGUGAGAUGUUGGGUUAAGUCCCGCAACGAGCGCAACCCUUGUCCUGUAUUGCCAGCGGGUUAUGCCGGGGACUUGCAGGAGACUGCCGGGGUCAACUGCGGAGGAAGGUGGGGAUGACGUCAAGUCAUCAUGCCCCUUAUGUCCAGGG
rnacentral:rRNA from 1 species